UACGUAGGGGGCGAGCGUUGUCCGGAAUUACUGGGCGUAAAGCGCACGUAGGCGGUCCGUCAAGUUCGGUGUGAAAUCUCCAGGCUCAACUUGGAGGGGUCGUCGAAGACUGGCGGACUAGGGUCUGGCAGAGGCAGGUAGAAUUCCCGGUGGAGCGGUGAAAUGCGUAGAGAUCGGGAGGAAUACCAGUGGCGAAGGCGGCCUGCUGGGCCACGACCGACACUGAGGUGCGAAAGCGUGGGGAGCGAACCGG
rnacentral:rRNA from 1 species